AAGAGCAUCCCCGGAUGAACUAAAACAUGCAGCAAGGGAUAUGACCAGAACUCUUGUUCAGGUUCGGUGCUCUGAUAUAGCUUUAGAAGAUAUCAGUCAGCGCAUUAUGAUACUAGAUGUCAUGACAGAAGCAGCUCAGGAGCUUGCGGAAU